CAAGUGAACAACUUGCAACUUCCUGGCUGGAAUUUUCCGCUGUGCUGGAGACAGGCCUUUAGUACUAAGUCUGUUUUUAUAUCAGAUCAUCCGACACAAGAUUAACAAACGAAGUCGGCUUUGCUUUUUUUUUCAUAAAGACAAAAAUUUUUAAGUUUUAAAAGACUGUGCCUUAAAUUUAAUUAUUCACUUGUCUGAAAGAUAAAAUUAAAGCUUUGAAAAUUAUAAAAUUCGAAUAUGAUUUGAAGUGGUAUCAUACCAUCGAGGGGAAUGGGUCGAAUGUGGUCGAAAGCAAGAGCUGAAUAUCUUUGGUGGAUGGUUCAUACUCUGAAAUAAAAAUGUUUUGCCGUAUAUAAUGCGGAGGAGCUGCAUGAACUAUUAAAAACUAUCAGCAAGAGAACCGUACCGUUGGAAAGCCAGGUUUUAUCGCAGGACAGUGAAAAACAUUGACACACACUCGUCGGCUUCCAAUGCCAUCCAACUGGAAUCGAGGGGGGAAGGGAAAGAAAUCGAAAUAUCAUAUCUGUAUAUUUAUCGGGUGGUGGAUUUAUUAUAAAUAGCCACAAUGAGAACAGAUAUUUGAUUAGAAAACGGGGACAGAGGUACAUUAUUUCAGGUCUAUAAGAAUGUAUGUUUUAUCUUAGAAACAUGAACGCAACAUGAGCCAAGUUGGUAUUCAUGCAUUCAAAGGUGACUGUGUCGUUUUUCACUGGAAAAACAUUUUUAAAGUUUGGACUCUGCUCGUUUCGUGCCUAGAUAGGCUAUAUAUUAGGCCAUAACUCGAAUGCAUUUUAUCAAGAUAACCCAAACAAUUAUUGAACAGAUUCCAUAUUAUUCAUAGAAUCUUACGAAAGACGUCUCUAUGGACUAAUGUAUAUUAAUCGAUAUCCAUAUUUCAAAUUUUUCUUUCUUUGUCUGCAUAUGCUUAAAGUUCAUGCAUUUGUACAUUGAUAUGUAUUACCUGAUCGAAAUUAAAGAAACGAAAAACGUAACUAAUAAAAAAAAUCACAUAAACUUUAGUUGCUUGUGAUUACGACAAUAUGAUACAAGGCAUGUACAUAAAUACACAUAAAUACUUUUAUAAUACAAUGAUUUAGGGCAUGUACAUACACAUAAGUAGUUUUUUAAGGUAAUGAUGUAAGCACAACAAAUAUUUUACACAGCGAUAAAGACAAAGGGACAAUGAAAGAAAAAGAAACCAGAGUAACCUUUUUGUAGACGUACACGGAUGAAAUAAAGUAUUUAAAAAUUAAAUUAAGUACGUAAAUUUGUCAAAUGUAUGUACAAGAGGCGCGCUCUUGCCUUGACCAUGAUUUUAUUGUAUGGUCCAUAUGUAAUGUUCCUUUGUGUAUAGUUGUACAAAUUUGUGUGUGUGUUUGACUUGCUGGUACUCUACCUGUAGCAAACGGCCAGUGUUGCAAAACUAAUGAAGACACACUUGACGAUAACUGUUAAAAUGAUGACCAUGGUUAAUGUGCUGAUCCUAUUUUGGUCUGAGGUGCCUGCAAAUGGGGGUUGCGUUUUAUUUGGAAAUGAAAUUAAAUUUGUUAAUAUGCUGACAUUUUUUAAUCCCUAUUAAGAGCUAGAUUCUCCCAUACAAUACGAUUCGAAAGGUUAAGUCCAAUUAACUUUUGUAUGCAGUAUACAUAAAUAUUGCUAGUCGAGUAAUCCGACACUAUCGGGGGGGGAUACUAAUUUCCAAAACAACCGAAUUCCAACUGAGUUGAAAUUCUAGAUGCCACAGAAGGCUGUCUCGGUUGGUUUAAAAACUCUAGUAAUAGGACUAGAGAUUUGGUUAAACCCAUUUCACUCAUAGAGAGCGUCUUUGAAAUUUAAUGAAUCAGCAUAAUUAAAAAUUGUAUAUGUUUUUAUCCCUUUUUUUCUACUCUACAAAACUUUUUGUAAAAUUUUUGGCAGAAUUGCCAUUCGCUGUCGGCGUACAAAACCAGCUCGU